rnacentral:rRNA from 1 species
AAUAUUGGACAAUGGGGGCAACCCUGAUCCAGCCAUGCCGCGUGUGUGAAGAAGGUCNNNGGAUUNUAAAGCACUUUAAGUAGNGAANACGGGCUCUAGGUUAAUACCCUGAAGUCUUGACGUUACCAACAGAUUAUACACCGGCUAACUCUGUGCCCGCAGCCGCGGUAGUACAGAGGGGGCAAGCGUUAAUCGGAAUUACUCGGCGUAAAGCGCGCGUAGGUGGUUCAGUAAGAUGGGUGUGAAAUCCCCGGGCUUAACCUGGGAACUGCUUUCAUAACUGCUGAGCUAGAGUACGGUAGAGGGUAGUGGAAUUUCCUGUGUAGCGGUGAAAUGCGUAGAUAUAGGAAGGAACACCAGUGGCGAAGGCGACUACCUGGACUGAUACUGACACUGAGGUGCGAAAGCGUGGGGAGCAAA